GGGUUGUGAGGUUAAGCGACUAAGCGUACACGGUGGAUGCCCUGGCAGUCAGAGGCGAUGAAGGACGUGCUAAUCUGCGAUAAGCGUCGGUAAGGUGAUAUGAACCGUUAUAACCGGCGAUUUCCGAAUGGGGAAACCCAGUGUGAUUCGUCACACUAUCAUUAACUGAAUCCAUAGGUUAAUGAGGCGAACCGGGGGAACUGAAACAUCUAAGUACCCCGAGGAAAAGAAAUCAACCGAGAUUCCCCCAGUAGCGGCGAGCGAACGGGGAGCAGCCCAGAGCCUGAAUCAGUGUGUGUGUUAGUGGAAGCGUCUGGAAAGGCGCGCGAUACAGGGUGACAGCCCCGUACACAAAAAUGCACAUGCUGUGAGCUCGAUGAGUAGGGCGGGACACGUGGUAUCCUGUCUGAAUAUGGGGGGACCAUCCUCCAAGGCUAAAUACUCCUGACUGACCGAUAGUGAACCAGUACCGUGAGGGAAAGGCGAAAAGAACCCCGGCGAGGGGAGUGAAAAAGAACCUGAAACCGUGUACGUACAAGCAGUGGGAGCACAGAGCAAUCUGUGUGACUGCGUACCUUUUGUAUAAUGGGUCAGCGACUUAUAUUCUGUAGCAAGGUUAACCGAAUAGGGGAGCCGAAGGGAAACCGAGUCUUAACUGGGCGUUAAGUUGCAGGGUAUAGACCCGAAACCCGGUGAUCUAGCCAUGGGCAGGUUGAAGGUUGGGUAACACUAACUGGAGGACCGAACCGACUAAUGUUGAAAAAUUAGCGGAUGACUUGUGGCUGGGGGUGAAAGGCCAAUCAAACCGGGAGAUAGCUGGUUCUCCCCGAAAGCUAUUUAGGUAGCGCCUCGUGAAUUCAUCUCCGGGGGUAGAGCACUGUUUCGGCAAGGGGGUCAUCCCGACUUACCAACCCGAUGCAAACUGCGAAUACCGGAGAAUGUUAUCACGGGAGACACACGGCGGGUGCUAACGUCCGUCGUGAAGAGGGAAACAACCCAGACCGCCAGCUAAGGUCCCAAAGUCAUGGUUAAGUGGGAAACGAUGUGGGAAGGCCCAGACAGCCAGGAUGUUGGCUUAGAAGCAGCCAUCAUUUAAAGAAAGCGUAAUAGCUCACUGGUCGAGUCGGCCUGCGCGGAAGAUGUAACGGGGCUAAACCAUGCACCGAAGCUGCGGCAGCGACGCUUAUGCGUUGUUGGGUAGGGGAGCGUUCUGUAAGCCUGUGAAGGUGUGCUGUGAGGUAUGCUGGAGGUAUCAGAAGUGCGAAUGCUGACAUAAGUAACGAUAAAGCGGGUGAAAAGCCCGCUCGCCGGAAGACCAAGGGUUCCUGUCCAACGUUAAUCGGGGCAGGGUGAGUCGACCCCUAAGGCGAGGCCGAAAGGCGUAGUCGAUGGGAAACAGGUUAAUAUUCCUGUACUUGGUGUUACUGCGAAGGGGGGACGGAGAAGGCUAUGUUGGCCGGGCGACGGUUGUCCCGGUUUAAGCGUGUAGGCUGGUUUUCCAGGCAAAUCCGGAAAAUCAAGGCUGAGGCGUGAUGACGAGGCACUACGGUGCUGAAGCAACAAAUGCCCUGCUUCCAGGAAAAGCCUCUAAGCAUCAGGUAACAUCAAAUCGUACCCCAAACCGACACAGGUGGUCAGGUAGAGAAUACCAAGGCGCUUGAGAGAACUCGGGUGAAGGAACUAGGCAAAAUGGUGCCGUAACUUCGGGAGAAGGCACGCUGAUAUGUAGGUGAAGCGACUUGCUCGUGGAGCUGAAAUCAGUCGAAGAUACCAGCUGGCUGCAACUGUUUAUUAAAAACACAGCACUGUGCAAACACGAAAGUGGACGUAUACGGUGUGACGCCUGCCCGGUGCCGGAAGGUUAAUUGAUGGGGUCAGCGCAAGCGAAGCUCUUGAUCGAAGCCCCGGUAAACGGCGGCCGUAACUAUAACGGUCCUAAGGUAGCGAAAUUCCUUGUCGGGUAAGUUCCGACCUGCACGAAUGGCGUAAUGAUGGCCAGGCUGUCUCCACCCGAGACUCAGUGAAAUUGAACUCGCUGUGAAGAUGCAGUGUACCCGCGGCAAGACGGAAAGACCCCGUGAACCUUUACUAUAGCUUGACACUGAACAUUGAGCCUUGAUGUGUAGGAUAGGUGGGAGGCUUUGAAGUGUGGACGCCAGUCUGCAUGGAGCCGACCUUGAAAUACCACCCUUUAAUGUUUGAUGUUCUAACGUUGACCCGUAAUCCGGGUUGCGGACAGUGUCUGGUGGGUAGUUUGACUGGGGCGGUCUCCUCCUAAAGAGUAACGGAGGAGCACGAAGGUUGGCUAAUCCUGGUCGGACAUCAGGAGGUUAGUGCAAUGGCAUAAGCCAGCUUGACUGCGAGCGUGACGGCGCGAGCAGGUGCGAAAGCAGGUCAUAGUGAUCCGGUGGUUCUGAAUGGAAGGGCCAUCGCUCAACGGAUAAAAGGUACUCCGGGGAUAACAGGCUGAUACCGCCCAAGAGUUCAUAUCGACGGCGGUGUUUGGCACCUCGAUGUCGGCUCAUCACAUCCUGGGGCUGAAGUAGGUCCCAAGGGUAUGGCUGUUCGCCAUUUAAAGUGGUACGCGAGCUGGGUUUAGAACGUCGUGAGACAGUUCGGUCCCUAUCUGCCGUGGGCGCUGGAGAACUGAGGGGGGCUGCUCCUAGUACGAGAGGACCGGAGUGGACGCAUCACUGGUGUUCGGGUUGUCAUGCCAAUGGCACUGCCCGGUAGCUAAAUGCGGAAGAGAUAAGUGCUGAAAGCAUCUAAGCACGAAACUUGCCCCGAGAUGAGUUCUCCCUGACCCUUUAAGGGUCCUGAAGGAACGUUGAAGACGACGACGUUGAUAGGCCGGGUGUGUAAGCGCAGCGAUGCGUUGAGCUAACCGGUACUAAUGAACCGUGAGGCUUAACCUUACAACGCCGAAG
rnacentral:rRNA from 1 species